rnacentral:lncRNA from 1 species
AUGUCUCCUCGUGCUGUGCAGGGACCACCAAGGGGACGUGCCACGCUCGGUGCAUGCACCCCUCAGACCACUUCCACCCACAGGGCCCCGGCCCCAAAAGCCCAGAGCUCUUACCAGGGUGUCCCGAACUCCUCCUGCUGCAUCUCCAUGCUGCCACCCCCUGGAAAAGCCACCCUCAGCCUUCCUCAGGGGCGGCGACUUCGGAGAGAAAACGAAGGCCUGGGCGUCGCCGUGUGGAAAAAAAACACCCCAAAACUCAGGGAGGUGUUAUUAUUAUCAUUCUUUUUUCCCCAAAAAGUCAUCACUUUGUCCUUCCCAAGCUGGCAAGGACCUGUUGCCCUGCAGGGAGCCAGGCAGGGGCGGUUCCUCACACACUGCCUCCCCCUCCUUGCCGCCUUCACCAUGCGCUUCCCUCCUCCUCCUCCUCCUUCUCCUCCAGCCGCGUGCUCACCCUGUUUAAGGCUUAAAACGGCGGCCACGGAGGGCCUGAGGCCCGUGGGUGCAGGGAAGAGAAAAAAGCAGGGGCCAGCGGUUGAAAGAGCAACUAUGCCCUCUUGGGAAGGUGCUGCUUGCCAAAGAAAUAGAUGAACGUUACGCUGGCCAUCUACCAUCCACUCAGUCUCGUGUUCCCUGUUUUGUCACGGAGGAUCUUAAUCAACAUGAAAUGCAGCAUCACAUCCUCACCUGACACCUGUGGUGCCGAAAGGUUUGUAGCUCUUGCUUUGUGGAAUGUAGUUCUAACAAAGUUGAAAAGAAAGCUCAUGGUACAUUGGUGAUACCCCUUCUUUGCUCAAAAAUUUAACCACAGUUCUUUAGCCAGACCAGAAAUGUUGCUUUCAGCAAGAUCUUCUUUGGAAGGAGUAAUGAACAAAUAAGAUCUAGGAAUAAGCUAUUAUGAGGCAUUAAAUCCUCUUCCUAACUGCUUAUUCAACACACACAAAAGAAGAUCUAACAAGGAAUUUCCAGAAUUGGUAUUAAUCCUACUCUGAGGCUUUCUGGAGGUAAAGGUUGGCUCCUCUGGGGCAUUCUCGUCUUCUAUAAGCAAUCACUCUUCUACAAAUUCUCAUGAACGUGAAUGCUAAGUAAAGUUGAUAUAAUGUGAUAGAUGUAGCUCUUAAUUCAGGUAACGCUCUGUACUACCCCAUGGACCUUGGCAUUGGAUGGGGAAGGAAUUUCAGGAUGCUAAAGGGCAUUUUUUCUUGCAUAGGCUGUAAUAAAACAACAGCCGCUCCUGUGAUUAUUGAGAUU